GCGGCGUGCUUAAUACAUGCAAGUCGAGCGGCAGCAUGGACUUCGGUCUGAUGGCGAGCGGCGGACGGCUGAGUAACGCGUAGGAAUGUACCCCAAAGUGAGGAAUAACUGCCCGAAAGGGUAGCUAAUGCCGCAUGUGGUCUUCGGAUUAAAGCUUUUAGCGCUUUGGGAACAGCCUGCGUACGAUUAGCUUGUUGGUGAGGUAAAAGCUUACCAAGGCGAUGAUCGUUAGCUGGUCUGAGAGGAUGAUCAGCCAGACUGGGACUGAGAACGGCCCAGACUCCUACGGGAGGCAGCAGUAGGGAAUUUUCCACAAUGGGCGAAAGCCUGAUGGAGCAACGCCGCGUGCAGGAUGAAGGCUUUCGGGUCGUAAACUGCUUUUCUCUGUGAUGAAUAUGACAGUAGCAGAGGAAUAAGGAUCGGCUAACUCCGUGCCAGCAGCCGCGGUCAUACGGAGGAUCCAAGCGUUAUCCGGAAUUACUGGGCGUAAAGAGUUGCGUAGGCGGCAGAGUAAGCGUGGCGUGAAAGCGUGUGGCUCAACCAUACACACAUGUCAUGAACUGCUCAGCUAGAGGACGAGAGAGGUAGCUGGAAUUCCUAGUGUAGGAGUGAAAUCCGUAGAUAUUAGGAGGAACACCGAUGGCGUAGGCAGGCUACUGGCUCGUUCCUGACGCUCAGGCACGAAAGCGUGGGGAGCGACCGGGAUUAGAUACCCCGUUAGUCCACGCUGUAAACGAUGGAUGCUAGCUGUGUUACGUAUCGAACCGUAGCGUAGCGAAGCUAACGCGUUAAGCAUCCCGCCUGUGGAGUACGGUCGCAAGACUAAAACAUAAAGGAAUUGACGGGGUCUCGCACAAGCGGUGGAGCGUGUUCUUUAAUUCGAGAGUAAGCGAAGAACCUUACCAGGGCUUGACAUCCCGAGAAUCCCUUCGAAAGUUGGGAGUGUCGCAAGAAAUUCGGUGACAGGUGAUGCAUGGCCGUCGUCAGCUCGUGUCGUGAGAUGUUUGGUUAAGUCCAUUAACGAGCGCAACCCCUUUACUUAGUUAAUUUUCUAAGUAGACUGCCCCGGUAACGGGGAGGAAGGAGGGGAUGAUGUUAGGUCAGUAUUUCCCUUACGCCCUGGGCUAGAAACACGCUACAAUGGCCGGUACAAAGGGCAGCUAAGCCGCGAGGCGGAGCAAAUCCCAUCAAAACCGGUCUCAGUUCGGAUUGCAGGCUGAAACUCGCCUGCAUGAAGCUGGAAUCGCUAGUAACGGUAGGUCAGCACACUACCG
rnacentral:rRNA from 1 species